UGGGGGAUAUUGCACAAUGGGGGGAACCCUGAUGCAGCGACGCCGCGUGAGGGAAGACGGUCUUCGGAUUGUAAACCUCUGUCUUUAGGGACGAAAAAAUGACGGUACCUAAGGAGGAAGCCACGGCUAACUACGUGCCAGCAGCCGCGGUAAUACGUAGGUGGCAAGCGUUGUCCGGAAUUACUGGGUGUAAAGGGAGCGUAGGCGGGGAGACAAGUUGAAUGUUUAAACUAUCGGCUCAACUGAUAGUCGCGUUCAAAACUAUCACUCUUGAGUGCAGUAGAGGUAGGCGGAAUUCCUAGUGUAGCGGUGAAAUGCGUAGAUAUUAGGAGGAACACCAGUGGCGAAGGCGGCCUACUGGGCUGUAACUGACGCUGAGGCUCGAAAGCGUGGGUAGCAAACAGG
rnacentral:rRNA from 1 species